GCUCACUGCAACCUCCACCUCCCGAGUUCAAGUGAUGCUCCUGCUUCAGCCUCCUGAGUAGCUGGGACUACAGAACUGCGUAGCGCCUUAUACGGUGCGGCAAGUGUGACGUCAUUCGAACAAACCAUAGGCCCCGCCCCCGGACGCAGCCACGCCCACAGGCUCCUGAAACCACCACUCCCAGCUGUGACAGCGCUCAGGACCGAUGCUCAUAGGUCCCGUCCCUAGGAUCCCCGCCCCCUCCGCCCGCGCCCCGCCCCUCGCAGCCCAGUUCCGGACGCGGGCCCAGCCGCGCCUGCGCCUCCGCUCGUGUGUGGCUGCGUCGCGCGCUCUUCCUCCGAGGUACCCAGGCGGCUGGUGUGCAGCAAGGUCCGUGCCGACCCCUGACGCCUGUCCCC
rnacentral:sRNA from 1 species